AAAUGAGCUAAAGUUUUGUGGAGCCAGAUGCUAUGUUGGGUGCUGGCGAUAAAUAACAAUCCUGUGCUUGUCCUCAGGGAGCUCACAGUCUAGCAAGGAGGCCUGAGAGUAACAAAUGCUCACACCAAGCAGGCUUUUCUUGCAAUCAGGAUCAGCCCUAGGAACUGUAAGGUGCAGGUUGCUGCAGUAACAAGGCGUCUAAUUUAGGUUGGGACUCAGGUCCCUCAGGAGUUAGUUACACUGAGCUGACUCCAGAAGCAACAAGUGUUCCUGGCAGAGGAAGGAGCUUAUGCAAAGGCACUGAAGUUAACGGGCACUUGGGGGGUUCUGGGAAGGAAAAAGAGGUCAGCACAAUAAAGAAAAGGAAGCAGGGGAUGAGAUAAGGCUCUCGAGGUUUGAGAGAGAUUAUCUAAAACAUUGAAGGCCAUGCUAAGGAAGUAGGAUUUUAUUUCAAGUGUGAUGGGCAGCCCGUGGGUACUUGUGUUUUAAGAUCUUCUUAGCUCUGUGUGGAGAAUAUCAGUAGUGGACCCAGGGGAGCAAGAGCAGACACUGGGAGACCUAUUAGGGUGACCUUGUGGGUGCCCUCGGGCCUGAGGGUAGCAGCUAGAUGAGAGGGGGAACACAUGGGUGGAGAGAUGUGAACAGGUUCAGGAAAUAAUUAGAAGACACAAUCUCCAGGCUGAUUGGUUGAUAGAUUGAAUGAGGGGGGUGGGGGAUGACGCAGAGGGGAGUUAAUAUUAAAUCACUCAUUCAUUGGACAAUUAUUUAUAGAGUCCCCUCUGGUUGCCAGGCACUGUUUGAGGGAGGCAGACUCUCUGGGAUCAAAUCCUGGCUCUGUCACUGGCUGUUUGCCUCAGGGAAGUUAUUUAACCUCUCUUUGUCUGUAAAACAGGGACCCUAAGAAUUCACGAGAGGAUUAUUGCAAGGGUUAAAUGAGUUGGUAUAUGUGAAACCUUGGAUCUGAGUGUUUAGAGCCAGGUUCUGAGGCUGAGGACUUGGGUUUGAGUAACUUGGGGCUGAGUGCUUAGGCCUGCUUUGUAGAGCAACCAACGCUUCCAUUUCUUUACUUCCCUUAUACAGAAAGUUUGUUUGUUUGAGAUAGGGUCCUUCUAUAUAGUCCAGGCUGGCUUCAAACUCACAGUGAUCCUCUUGCCUCAGCCUCCUGAGUGCUGGGAUUACAGGCGAGGGCCACCACACCCAGAUCCCUUGUCUAGAAAGUUGAAGCAGGUUGAUAUGCUGGAGCAGUGGUUCCCACUCCUGUCUGAACAUUAGGAUCACUUGGGUUUUUGCUUUUGUUUUUUUAAUUCCAAAAGUCCAGGCUGCACCCAAGAUCAAUUACAUCUCAAUUUCUAUGGAUAAGACACAGCACAGAUGGCAGUAUUUUUUUAAACCCUCAGGUGAUUCCAGAAGCCAGGCACGUGGUGCAUCCCUGUAAUCCCAGCACUCAUGAGGCUGAGACACGAGGAUCAUCUGAGCCCAGCUUGGACUACAUAGUUCGUGGUCAACCUGAACUAAAUUGAGACCCUGUCUUUAAAAAAAAAAGUGAUUCCAGGUCGCACCUGAGACUCUUGGUAGCUGUUGGCACUGGGAGUUGACCCCCCCCCGACUCAUCAAGAAUUCAUGCUCACCCACUGGGGCACCGGUCUGCCAAGAACGCCACCUGUGGCAUCAUCCCUACUGCCACCUACCCCAUCCUGCCAUGACUUGUAACUAAGCAGCCCCUGGCAGAUCCUCUUGCCAACCUCUAACACUUCCUGUUUCUCACACCUGCUCAAUGACAGAGGCGGACCAGGCUGUCUGCUGGCCAGACAGUGGCGAAGCACAGGCCCAGAUAGGGACACAGCUGGUCAGUCAUGCAGCGAUGCUAAGGGGAAACAGGCCCCACACCAAGCCCCUGCUUCUCUGCUAACUAGGCCUGAUUUGGGGAGGUCUCUCUCUGCCUAACUUCUUGGUUCUAACCUGCUGGGGAGAUCUGGUUCUCCAUUGGAUGGGGUGUGGGAGGGUGGAGGCUAACACCACCCUGCACUAGCGUGUGUGUGUGAAUAGAACAAAAGCAGUAAAAUGACCUCAGUUGGGUUUUGUGGUUUUUUGCAUGGCUGGACUGGCAUUUCCCUUGAUGUUGGCUACAGAGGAAGAAUCGGUCCAGUUAAUCCUAGGAAAAUGACUUGAGACCAGCUCUCCAGGAAGACUAAGAAACUGAGGUCUAGAGAGGAUCGAUGAAGACAAAGGACCUCAACAUUGUCUUCCAGCAAGGCAGUCAGAGAUGAGGUCUGUUUUAUCUUAUUUGGCCCUGGAGAUGGACUCUACCACUGAGCUGCACUGCCAACCCCUGGGAUCUGUUUUGGAGUCAUUUUAAGGAGGCCUAUAGGCACCACCUGCAAGCUGUUCAUCUAUCCUCUGAGUUGGAGGAGGAAAGGAAGACCUUGCCAAGCCCUCCAAACCUGCUUAUAUUCUCUGUCUGGGGGAGUCUGUGCUUUGUCACAGACUGGACUCCUGGCUUCUCCAUCCUGCCUAACCAAAGAGUAGCUGGGGGCUUCUCUUAGUGAGAACACCCCUCAUUCUGCUUCCCUCACCCCCAAGAACCCUAGGAAAUGAAGCCUGGGCAUUCCGUCCCUGACUGGUGACAGGAGGAUCUGGCGCAGAGACGUCUCAAGGGAGGGGAUGUCUGAGCUGUGCUCAGAGGACAAUAGGGAGUUUUUCAGGAAGGUGAGCUUCAGAAGGGCAUUCCAGCCUGGGAGCCACCCUGCUGUGGCCCAGAAACAAAAUCAGCUGGCUCUGUCCCUGGAGCUGUGGUUGACCUGACAGGAAAAUGAGGGUGGGAGCCUGAGGAUAAGGCAGGCCAGAGCCAGGCCUUGUUGGGCUUCUCAUUGCAAGGGUGAUUCACAGGACAAAGUGUCUUCUGUUUUCUCAUCUAGGUCAUUGGGGAGAGUGACAGAGAAGGUUCUGGACUCCAGCUGGAAGAGGGAGGGCAGGAGGAAUGAAAGGGUUUUGAGAACCACAGGCUACUCCUCCUCCCUGUUUUUCAAGGUGCUCAUAGACAGGAUGCUGCUGCCACCCAAAGUGAGCUCAGACAGGUCACUGAACCCCAAGCCCUAGGCCUGGGAAUCCAAAUGUCUGGAAACCAUUGGUCUAGUCCAAUCCCCUUACUUGCACAUGGAGAAGCAGAGGCCCUGAGAGGGGAAUCCAAUUUCCUCUGUGUUACCAUCCCAAACCAGAGAUGACUGUCAGAAGUGAAAAUUAUCAUCAUCAUCAUCAUCAUCAUCAUCAUCAUCAUCAUCAUCAUCAUCAUCCUUUUCUUCAUGUCUGGAAUAAAAAUACUAUGUUAUUAAUAAUGCUAACAACAAGGCCAGGGAUUUAGCUCAGUGGUUUCGCCGCCU